AUCUUCCCGCGCCGGUGACGGAAGUGCGGUGGUGAGCGCCGGCGGGUCGCGCCCACGCUGGGCCGGGAGUCGAAAUGCUUCCCGGUGCCGGGAGUGAGCGAUGAGCUGGCUUCUGUUCCUGGCCCACAGAGUCGUCUUGGCCGCCGUGUCCUGCCACCGCGGCUCUCGCGGGUUCGGGAUGUUCUAUGCCGUGAGGAGGGGCCGCAAGACCGGGGUCUUUCUGACCUGGAAUGAGUGCAGAGCACAGGUGGACCGGUUUCCUGCUGCCAGAUUUAAGAAGUUUGCCACAGAGGAUGAGGCCUGGGCCUUCGUCAGGAAAUCUGCAAGCCCGGAAGUUUCAGAAGGGCAGGAAAAUCAACAUGGACAAGAAUCGGAGACGAAAGCCAGCAAGCGACUCCGUGAGCCACUGGAUGGAGAUGGAGAUGAAAGCACAGAGCCGUAUGCAAAGCACAUGAAGCCGAGCGUGGAGCCGGUGCCUCCAGUUAGCAGAGACACGUUUUCCUACAUGGGAGACUUCGUCGUCGUCUACACGGAUGGCUGCUGCUCCAGUAAUGGGCGUAGAAGGCCACGAGCAGGAAUCGGCGUUUACUGGGGCCCGGGCCAUCCUUUAAAUGUAGGCAUUAGACUUCCUGGGCGGCAGACAAACCAAAGAGCAGAAAUUCAUGCAGCCUGCAAAGCCAUUGAACAAGCAAAGACUCAAAACAUCAAUAAACUGGUUCUGUAUACAGACAGUAUGUUUACGAUAAAUGGUAUAACUAACUGGGUUCAAGGCUGGAAGAAAAAUGGGUGGAAGACAAGUGCAGGGAAGGAGGUGAUCAACAAAGAGGACUUCGUGGCACUGGAGAGGCUUACCCAGGGGAUGGACAUUCAGUGGAUGCAUGUUCCUGGUCAUUCGGGAUUUAUAGGCAACGAAGAAGCUGACAGAUUAGCCAGAGAAGGAGCCAAACAAUCGGAAGACUGAGCCAUGUGACUUUAGUCCUUGGGAGAACUUGAGCCAGUGGCUGUCUUGCUACUUGUACUUACUGGUGUGGAAAAUAGCCUGCAGGAUGUUCGUGCCGCACAAAUAGAGGCCGUUGAAGAAGUGUUCUUUGUGCAGAACUCCCCUCCUGUUGUCUGCCGGUACUGGAGCAUCACGGUGUCACCCCAUUGCUGAAGCCUGAUGGGGGCGCUCUCCCGGGACAGGCCACACACCAGCCUCUGCGAGCUAGGAAGGAGCCUCACCAGAAGCGGAACCAGCGGGAACCUUGACCUCAGACUUGCAGCCUCCAGAACUGUGAGAAAAUAGAUUUUUGUUGUUUCAAGCCCCCGAGCCUGUGGUAUUCUGUCCCAGCAGCCUGAGCAGGCUGAAAUGGGAGGAAACUGCAGCCGAGUCAGCUCCUCCGACUCUAGGCCGACCACUCUUCACUGUAUGACACGUGACUCACCAGAUAAAGCCACACACGUCAUUCUUUUAAAAUCCUCUACUCUGUGAGUGCAAUGAAAUUAGUAUUUUUCCACAAGUCCUUUCCUUUCUCUAGUCUCUGGGCCCUCCCUCUGCUGGCGAUGUUCUUUUUCUUGUUUUAACCAUCUGAGCAGCACACGACCCCCGUGUCUUGGGGCAGUGACGUGUCUGUGGUCAGUACAGGACCUGGUGCUGGCUCUCUCGUGGCCAAGACUGACAGUGGUCACGCCUGGACCCCGCUGUGUGUCCCACCCUGUUCAGUUUGCCAGCACAGGCUUUUGGUUCCAUUUUCAACACAUCUCUAGUCUGAUCAGUCCUGACCUCCACUGCAGGCCGCAUCCUUCCCUGCCUGUACUAGUGCAGAGCUCCUGGUGGGUUCGCACCUCUCUCCCCCAACUCCUCCCUCUCCAGGUAGCAGCCAGGAUGGCACUUUCAAACCAUGUCAGAUCACGUCGCUGCUGUGCUCAGGACCCUCCCAUGACUUCCUUGUCCCUCUCAGAAUAAAAUGCAAAGUCCUCCCCCACACCCACAGGUGUCCCCCUGUCCCCACUCCACACCUCACCUGCACUUGCCAACUCCAGCCAUGCGGCUCUUACUGCCGUUCCUCAACGUGCUGGGAACGCUCCUGCCUCUGCCGUUCCUCAACGUGCUGGGAACGCUCCUGCCUCAGGGGCUUUGCUGUUCCACUGCCUGGGCUUUACUCAGAUGGAACUUUCUUUGUAAAAAUUAUUGAUUUCUAAAAUUAUGGUAAAAUACACAUAACAUAAAGUUAACAUCUUAACUUUUUUUUUUUUUUUUUUUUGGACAGGAUAGUCUCACUCUAUCACACAGGCUGGAGUGCAGUGGUGCAAUCACAGCUCACUGCAGCCUCUGCCUCCUGGGUUCAAGUGAUUCUCUUGCCUCAGCCUCCCAAGUAGCUGGGGACUAGAGGCACACACCACCACACCUGGCUUUUUUUUGUUUUGUUUUUUGUUUUUUGUUUUUUUUUUAGUGGGGACAGGGUUUUGCCAUGUUGGCCAGGGUGGUCUGGAACUCCUGACCUCAAGUGAUCUGCCUGCCUCACUGUCCCCAAGUGCUGGGAUUACAGGUGUGAACCACUGCGGCCAGCCCAUCUUAGCCGUUUUUAAGUGUGCAGUUCAGUGGCAUUAGGUACACUCACACUGCUGUACAACCAUCAGCACCCUCCAUCUCCAGAACUUCUCAUCUUCCCAGACUGAAGCUCUGUUCCUAUUGGACAAGGACUCCCCAGCCCCCUUCCCCAGCCCCUGGCAGCACUGUUCUGCUUUCCAUCUCUAUGAAUGUGACUCCUCUAGGGACCCCGUAUAAAUGGAAUCAUGCAGGAUUUGUCCUUCUGGGCCUGGCUUACUUCACUGACCCUAAUGUCCUCAAGGUUCCUCCAUGUGGUAGCAGGUGUGAGAAUUCCCUUCCUUUUAAGGCUGAAGAAUACUCCAUUGUGUGGACGUGGCACAGGAUUUUUUCAGUGCCACUUCACCAGCCGGAGACCUCCAUGGCCGCCGGCUCCCCUGCCUGGCUUCACUCGGCCCAAGGAUCACUGCUGGAGGUACUCUGCACAUUCGGCCCAGUGGGCUGUGCUCCGCUUGCACCCCGGCCCAGAUCCCACGCUUGCCACAGGAUCUGCGCUCAGCUGGCGUUUGGGCCGGGCGUGCCGCAACCUGCUUCUGCCUUGGGCACCGGUGUCUGGAUGAGGGGAACGUGGUGGCACCCAAAACUCGGAGACACCAGGAACCGCAGAGCCCCAAGGGUGUCACAGCUCAACCGUUCCCACCACCUGUGACUUGGUGAGCAGGGCGUGUUACAGCCCUGGUUCAGGGAGUCUGAAGUCUGGGCUCUCAGGAAGCACUACAGCUCUAGUUCAUUCCUGCCGCCCGCAACUUCAGCAAACGGGGGUGUGUGGCACCCAGCAGUUUCUUCUCCUCCAUUGCUCAGCAAGCAGGAGGGAGGGUUACAGUGUUACAGCCUUUUUUGACACCCACUGUUCUGCAGGUCCCAAGUUCUUGUCCCACAUCCAGAAGAAUAAGGUUAUGCAGACAACUGGAGAGUGAGCAGGGCAGAAAAAACUUUUCUUGCACGAUGGAACAGCUCCCAGUGUCGAGGGGACCUGAGAGUGGGCAGCCACUACCUGAAGGUCGUGGACUUCACCUGGAACUGGCAGCCUGGUUUUCCAGCUUCAGGCUGUCUUUGGCUUGAAGCUCGGGUUUCACUGGGGACCUGCCCCAGUCUGCCUAGGAAUCUGUCUUCUGCCACUAUCAGAGGGACCACGCUUUGCUUAUCCAGUCGUCAUUCACGGACCCUGCAUUGUCUCUGCCUCUUGGGCUUUGUGAAGAAUGCUGCUGUGAACAGGGGAGUACCCCUGCCCGUUUGGGUCCCUGUACCGUUUGGGAGGUACGUGGAGGGGAGAUUGCGGGGUCAUGUGGUCAUUCUGUUUGGCUCUCGGAGGAGCAGGCAUCCUGUUUUCCACAGCAGCUCUGCCAUCAAAUGGUACUUUCUUAGUGAGACCUCCCAUAUCUCUCCCCAUAAAUGUAUCUCUCCCCGUAAACAUUGCAACUCCUGGCUCACUUUCCUUCUUCCUGUAACUUGUCACUGUGGAACUAUCAAAUGCGCCUGAGCCGACUUGUAGCAGCCCAGGAGAGCCAGCAGUGAGGCCCCUUCCCUGCUCCAUGGUCAGUGCCUUCACACAGGGAGUUUGGAGGUGGCUGUAGUGGGAGGACUCACACCGCAGAAAUCAGCCAGUGCUGCAGGUCAGGGGCCGCCAUCCCCCAGAGCUGCUGUGAAACAUUUACCAGCACAUCAGUGGCCUGCUUUCUGCUUGUUUUAUUUGCAUGUAUUUUCGUCUGUUUCCCUACCUAGAAAAUAAACUCCCUGUGGCAGAAGUUUUCUCUCUCUGCUCCCUUCUUGGUUCCCACCUCUUGGAACAGAACCAGACUUCUGGCCGGGGCUCAGUCAGUGCUUGCAAGAUGUUUGUUGGCAGCAGGAUGUGCCCGGAGAGGUGAGCUCUGAGAGGGCAGUGUGAGGAAGGAGGAAGCCUCGCGGCUCUCUUUGGAGAAAAGGCCUGGGUGACAUUUUAUGCGUCCUUUCCCUUCCCCUGAGGCAGCAUGAUCGGCUCCUUUGUGAGCACAGAGGCCUGGGUUCUCGCCUUGCUCUGCCCGAAGGGCGAGCAGCUCCAUCAGUCCUGUCUGUGUGGGAGAGCGCCUCCAUGCCUCUUAGUGCGGUGCCUCCCAGCCUUUAUAAUGUCAGGGCAUGGCUAGAAAAUAUGAUUUCUACAGCACAUCAGGACCAAGUGGAGGGUGGUGUUGGGUGCAUCUCUUUGGGCCUCAGUGAACACUUUACUAAAUUCUUUACAUGUAAUCACGCACUGCACAGCAACAUUGCUGUCAACGAUGCACUGCAUAUUCAACAGUGGCCUCGUCAGAUGAUAAUAGCGUGUUUUUGCUGUAACUUUCCUGUGCUUAGAUACACAGAUCCUUACCACUGCAUGACAGUUGCCUGCAGGAUUCAGAGCAGUGACCUGCUGUACAGGUUUAUAGCCCAGAAGCCAUAGGCUGUGCCACGUGGCCCGGGUGUGUAGUGCGCUGUACCAUCUAGGGGUAUGAAAUCACCUAAGGACACCUUCCCUAGAACCUAUCCCCAUCAAGGGAUGCGAGGCUGAGUAACGGGGCCCCUUGGGAGUUCAGCACUCAGCAUGUUUCAGUGAGUGACUGAAGUAAUGAACGUUCUGAUCGGGCCCUCUCUGGCUGGCACCUGUGAACCACUCACUUUGUACCCAUUAUUUCUUGUUCCCACAACAUGAUUAUAAACUGCCGAUCUACUGUUUCUUUGUCAAACGGGAGGCGAUAACGUCAGGGUCAUGAGAAAUGUUUGCAGACGGAGCGAAUGCCUUGAAAGUGCUGCGACCAGGUGCUGACACCCGCAGGUCUGGCUGCUCGAAGUGGUAGCCAACACGGAAGACACACGGACUUUCCCUCCAUUCCCCGAAACUCCCCUCCCUGGCUCGUCAGCUGCAUAAAAACCCUCUCUUUAUCUCUUUGUCAAGGGGAUGUAAGAAAUCUUGCUGUCUUGUCUUCUUGCUUUGGCCAAAUGGAAUAAACCUUUCUCUGUGUCCAGA